AAGUAAACUGACCUGCUAACUUAGGGAAAAUGCAGAUGAACACAAUAGCAGCCUUACUGUAUCAAUAGCUCACCCAUGACCGAGAAAAUAAAUCAAAGAAGUAAAUUAAAUUUCAAUUAGUUGUUAGAUUGACCUCAUUUCCUUUUAUUGCCAAGGAUUACCCGACUUCCGUCUAUCUCCUGAGCGGCUAUUAAUGUUGUUUCAAUAACGUAUCAUCUGCAUUUAACUGAAAUACAUAAGGCUGUUGACUAAACUGUACCAUUACUUGAUUGUUUUAUUUUAUUAUUAUUUAAAUCAACUCCACAUUUCUCAUUUUAGAAAUUCAUUUCAAUGAGAGAAUAUACUGCAGCGGAUGUUGGUUAACCUGUCAUAUGUGGACAAAGCAUUGCCCCAGAUUUGAGUUGAUAAUACCCAGAAUAUCUUGCCUGAGAUAAAGGAGAAGGAAAACCAUUUUACAAAGGCAAUCUCCUUCUUUGGCAGUGACAGUAACAUUGUUCCAGAUAUCGCCCAAUGGGAGUACUGCUGUCAAGACAUAUUGCAUAGGAGUUUAAUUGAAGUGUGGGAAGCCGGGGAGUUUGCAGACAGCUGGAGAUGUAGUUUUUCAAUGAAUCUACAAGGGAUAGACAUAUGCACCCAUCCAUCCCUUGCCUUCAAGUCAGUAUUGAUUCCUGGUGAUUGCCUGGACAAGUUCCUGCAAUUUUCAUAUGUGGCUCGCCAUUGCCUCCUUCCUAGGCUGAGAGAGAAGGAUUGGCUCACUCGGCUGGCUUUGUGCUUAAGGCCGGAUUGAAAGUCAUGGUCCGGUCUCCCAGUUUCUGACCUGAUAUCUUAUCCAUUACAAGCUGUCUCUCAUUACAUUACAUUGAUACAUUUUGUUUCCAUAUCUGAUCAGGAUUUCAAAGCCAUCUACCAUGAGAUUCUUCACUAAUUUUAUCACUACUUCUUAUUCCUAUUACAAGGAAUAACUUCAUAACAUAUAUGAUUUGAAAGAGAAUUACUGAUCUAAAGUGACCCAAUAACUUUCAAUGGAUAAAGGUGGAUUUGAACUUCAGACUUCCUGAACCAAGAAUAUCUAGUUUUCUUCUCUUAAAUGUUGUUACUUACUGUAAUAGGAUGUAGUAAAUCUACUUUUUCCAUGUCAGUCCCUGCCCUACAGAACCCCAUUCCUCCCCACCCACCCCCCAGUAAUUGGUUAAGAGCCUACUUCCUAGCCUUCCAUAAGGCCUUGAAGAGUUGGUUCUUCCUUCAAGUGUUUCAGUGGAAUGAGACUGAAGUUGAAUGCUGACUUGGAGGGAAGUGUGGUCUUUGAGGUUCUGGAAAAUUUUGUUGUGUUUUUAUGGUAUUUGGUGUUUUUUACUGUUGUUUGUGAACUGUUCAGGUUUAUGGUACAUAAGAUGGGCAGCCAUAUUGUAUGUCUUUUAGAAAAACAGAUAAAUCAAUCCUAGUCAAAUAUCUUAACAACUACACCAGAUUUACGACAUUAGAAUGUCUAUACAGUCAUCUAGGUGAUGGUUGUCCCAAAGGUUCUUUUUCAAAAGGAUUUUGUUUUUCCUUGAAGACAUUUCACUUUUGAUCCAAGAAGCUUCUUUAGUUCUGACUGAAU